rnacentral:rRNA from 1 species
UUUUAUAUGAGAGUUUGAUCCUGGCUCAGGAUGAACGCUGGCGGUGUGCCUAAUACAUGCAAGUCGAACGCGUUGGCCCAAUUGACUGAUGGUGCUUGCACCUGAUUGAUUUUGGUCGCCAACGAGUGGCGGACGGGUGAGUAACACGUAGGUAACCUGCCCAGAAGCGGGGGACA